rnacentral:misc_RNA from 1 species
AAAGUCGUAACAAGGUUUCCGUAGGUGAACCUGCGGAAGGAUCAUUAACACGAAUUAUUAUCCACUAUUCCAACCAAACGGAAACUUUUCCCCUCCCUAGUGCUUUGCUUUCUUGCAUUGCAUUGUACUAGGCUAAACUGUUAUCCUUAUAUUUACACCCCAUAUAAACAAACCAACUAUGGUCUUGUGUUUCCUCGUUGAAACCCAUUACCACUUCAAAACUGAAGAACAUGACUAGUAGUCCUAGUUGACUCACUCGGUCUGUUCUGUUCUAAUUUAGAACUAAAAAGAGAAAAUACAACUCUUAACAAUGGAUAUCUUGGUUCUC